GACCUAAUGUUAAACAAGGAGAUGUGGUCCUGCUAAAGGACUCCCAAGCCAGCAGGAACGAAUGGCCCAUGGGACAAAUAGUAAAAACAUUCCCCAGCAGCGACAAGAAGGUCCGGAAAGUGGAAGUGCGGAUUGUAAAAGAUGGGACUGUUAAAAUGUUUCUCAGACCACUUUCAGAGAUAUUUGUUUUGCUUGCAGAGACUGAAUGAAUAUUCUUCGAUGCUAAAUGAUGUUUGAAUAUGUUGUAUUGAUGUUUAUAGUGAUAUAAUGUGUUUAUAUCAAGCGGGGAGUGUUAUGCCUUUUGGUCAAAAGUCAGUAGUUAGUGCAUAAUCUGAUUAAGUUACGUAAGCAAGGUGAUAAAUAAGUUCAAAGUUAAGAAAUAUCAUAAGUAAUUCAUGCUAAAAACAGUUAAGAUGUGUGGAUUUGAAAUUUGCUCAGAGUGAGACAUCGUUAUCGCAAGCGAUCUUUGUAUUGUACGUGCGGGAAUGGGAGCGAGGGAGCGCUCUGAUCAUUAACCUAUCUUUGACAUAUUUUCUCCGUUAAUGCUGUGAAAAGUGCUUCGGCAGUAUUAAAAGAGUGAAAGAGUUCAUGUACACGCUAAGAGUGCCCUACACGCUUGUACCUUGGGAAACGUUCGUCUUUUUACAAAUAAGAAAUAGCAAGGAGAAGCCUUGAGAGUGAUAAGGCUUUAAAGGAUCUUCAUUAAAAGCAAGAAAAGCAAGCCUUGUGUGGAAGAUCUCGUCUAUUUUGUUCGCUGGCUGUCUAGCUUCACAUGGUCGCGUGACGUGAGGGCAGCACAAAGGUCCAUACGCACGAAUGAACAUAAGGGUGAUUCCCAAAGGGCUAUUAGUCAAAAACUUUUUUCAGUGUGAGAAACUGAACAAGUGGAAGACAAAAGAAGUACGUGGCAGGGGUGCGGUCUCUGGCCUGCUGCAGCGGAGGGGCGUUACGUGACAACGGGGACGGAGAAGGUGUGUGGAAGGAAGCAACUGUACCUGAGUGACUGGUGCUGGAAAGAAAAAACAGUUGCCAAAACAGAAUAAAACUGACUUGCAUUGCAUGAAAUCCGGUGUGUGUGUUGGGUCCUUAUCACAGAGUAUCAUACAAAAAAACUUAUCUACAGAACAGUAUCUGAAAGUCAUGUCGUUUGGAAACAGAAAAACCUCCUGAAAGACCUGACACAGGACUCGAGAGAUGCAUCUGGCCCUUCAGUUCUUAAUUUCCUGCGUCAUCAAAAAUGGUCCAAGUUGUAUGGGUGGCUGUCAAGAAGCCAUUCUUAAGGAAGGGAAACAGGGAGAAAAAACUGAGGAAGAAGCCUCCAACAGAACCAGGCUCAGGGAGUCGCAGCCAUCUGUCAAACAGUAAUGCCAAUACAGUAAAAGCAUACCUGGAUAGAAAAACAAACUUCAGAUAGCAAUUUGAUGAUGGGCAGAUAGAAAUGAAGAUAAUGAAGAUGCAGAUAAAUAAAGAACUUUGUAAUGUAAGUAACAACAUAAUUGCAACUCUAAUGAAACUGCUGAA